rnacentral:rRNA from 1 species
GAUGAACGCUGGCGGCGUGCCUAAUACAUGCAAGUCGAGCGAACGGACGAGAAGCUUGCUUCUCUGAUGUUAGCGGCGGACGGGUGAGUAACACGUGGAUAACCUACCUAUAAGACUGGGAUAACUUCGGGAAACCGGAGCUAAUACCGGAUAAUAUUUUGAACCGCAUGGUUCAAAAGUGAAAGACGGUCUUGCUGUCACUUAUAGAUGGAUCCGCGCUGCAUUAGCUAGUUGGUAAGGUAACGGCUUACCAAGGCAACGAUGCAUAGCCGACCUGAGAGGGUGAUCGGCCACACGGGAACUGAGACACGGUCCAGACUCCUAGGGGGGGCAGCAGUAGGGAAUCUUCCGCAAGGGGCGAAAGCCUGACGGAGCAACGCCGGGUGGGUGAUGAAGGUCUUCGGAUCGUAAAACCUUUUUAUUAGGGAAAAAAAUAUGUGUAAGUAACUGUGCACAUCUUGACGGUACCAAAUCAAAAAGCCCCGGCUAACUACGU